rnacentral:rRNA from 1 species
UGGGGAAUAUUGGGCAAUGGGCGAAAGCCUGACCCAGCGACGCCGCGUGAGGGAAGAAGGUCUUCGGAUUGUAAACCUUAGUUAGCAGGGAAGAAGAAAGUGACGGUACCUGCAGAGAAAGCCACGGCUAACUACGUGCCAGCAGCCGCGGUAAUACGUAGGUGGCAAGCGUUAUCCGGAUUUACUGGGUGUAAAGGGCGCGUAGGCGGGGAUACAAGUCAGAUGUGAAAUCUAUGGGCUUAACCCAUAAACUGCAUUUGAAACUGUAUCUCUUGAGUGUCGGAGAGGUAGACGGAAUUCCUAGUGUAGCGGUGAAAUGCGUAGAUAUUAGGAGGAACACCAGUGGCGAAGGCGGUCUACUGGACGAUAACUGACGCUGAGGCGCGAAAG